AUUUUUUUAGAAUGCUCGUGAACUUCUCUUCUCUCCUCCAGCAGGUUGCUGAAACCCAUAGCCAAGCAAUCCGAACAAUCUGAAAGGAAAGGACAAAGCUUGUGACUAGUAUUAUCGUAUACAAGUUCUUAAGUGAGGCAAAGGUUCUAGUAAGGAUAAGUACGAUCAGUAAGGAGCUAUCGGAGCAUCUUUUGGAAAGACAUACAUAUCAUCAGUAUCAGUAAGACAACUAUGAUGUUUCCUUUGACUUAUAAUGGCAUGUAUAAU